rnacentral:rRNA from 1 species
GUAGGUGGCAAGCGUUGUCCGGAAUUAUUGGGCGUAAAGCGCGCGCAGGCGGUUCUUUAAGUCUGAUGUGAAAGCCCACGGCUCAACCGUGGAGGGUCAUUGGAAACUGGAGAACUUGAGUACAGAAGAGGAAAGCGGAAUUCCACGUGUAGCGGUGAAAUGCGUAGAGAUGUGGAGGAACACCAGUGGCGAAGGCGGCUUUCUGGUCUGUAACUGACGCUGAGGCGCGAAAGCGUGGGGAGCAAACAGGAUUAGAUACCCUGGUAGUCCACGCCGUAAACGAUGAGUGCUAAGUGUUAGGGGGGUUUUCCGGCCCCCCUUAGUGCUGCAGCUAACGCAUUAAGCACUCCGCCCUGGGAGUACGGCCGCAAGGCUG